CGGGCGCCUCCGCCGAAUCCGCCCUGCCGCCCUGGCAGUCCGGAACCGGGGACCCACACGCAGCACCGGGGUGAAUCGGUCCGUGCCCUGGCAUCCGGACCGUAGGACAGCCUUCCGUUCCGUCCGAACCCGACAGCUAACCCGGUAGGCGGUCCACGGAAGGAGAU
rnacentral:sRNA from 2 species